rnacentral:rRNA from 1 species
CGGCGAGUGAAGCGGUAACAGCUCAAAUUUGAAAUCUGGGCCUUUUAGGUCCCGAGUUGUAAUUUGUAGAAGAUGCUUUGGGUGUGGUUCCGGUCUAAGUUCCUUGGAACAGGACGUCAUAGAGGGUGAGAAUCCCGUAUGUGACUGGGUACCUUCGCCCGUGUAAAGCUCUUUCGACGAGUCGAGUUGUUUGGGAAUGCAGCUCAAAAUGGGUGGUAUAUUUCAUCUAAAGCUAAAUAUUGGCCAGAGACCGAUAGCGCACAAGUAGAGUGAUCGAAAGAUGAAAAGCACUUUGGAAAGAGAGUUAAACAGUACGUGAAAUUGUUGAAAGGGAAGCGCUUGUAACCAGACUCGCACGUCGUCGAUCAUCCGGGGUUCUCCCCGGUGCACUCGGCGGCAUUCGGGCCAGCAUCGGUUUGGGUGGUUGGAUAAAAGCUGUGGGAAUGUGGCUCCCCUCGGGGAGUGUUAUAGCCCUCGGUACAAUGCAGCCUACCCGGACCGAGGACCGCGCUUCGGCUAGGAUGCUGGCGUAAUGGUUAUAAGCGACCCGUCUUGAAACACGGACCAAGGAGUCUAACAUCUAUGCGAGUGUUUGAGUGUUAAACUCAUACGCGUAAUUAACGUGAACGGAGGUGAGAACCCGUUAGGGUGCAUCAUCGACCGAUCCUGAUGUCUUCGGAUGGAUUUGAGUAAGAGCAUAGCUGUUGGGACCCGAAAGAUGGUGAACUAUGCCUAAAUAGGGUGAAGCCAGAGGAAACUCUGGUGGAGGCUCGCAGCGGUUCUGACGUGCAAAUCGAUCGUCAAAUUUGGGUAUAGGGGCGAAAGACUAAUCGAACCAU